rnacentral:rRNA from 1 species
GACAGAGGAUGCAAGCGUUAUCCGGAAUGAUUGGGCGUAAAGCGUCUGUAGGUGGCUUUUUUUAAGUCUGCCGUCAAAUCCCAGGGCUAACCCCUGGACAGGCGGUGGAAACUACCAAGCUGGAGUACGGUAGGGGCAGGGGGAAUUUCCGGUGGAGCGGUGAAAUGCGUAGAGAUCGGAAAGAACACCAACGGCGAAAGCACUCUGCUGGGCCGACACUGACACUGAGAGACGAAAGCUAGGGGAGCGAAUGGG